AUACGUAGGGUGCAAGCGUUAAUCGGAAUUACUGGGCGUAAAGCGUGCGCAGGCGGUUUUGUAAGACAGUGGUGAAAUACCCGGGCUCAACCUGGGAACUGCCAUUGUGACUGCAAGGCUGGAGUGCGGCAGAGGGGGAUGGAAUUCCGCGUGUAGCAGUGAAAUGCGUAGAUAUGCGGAGGAACACCGAUGGCGAAGGCAAUCCCCUGGGCCUGCACUGACGCUCAUGCACGAAAGCGUGGGGAGCAAACAGGAUUAGAUACCCUGGUAGUCCACGCCCUAAACGAUGUCAACUGGUUGUUGGGGAUUUAUUUUCUCAGUAACGAAGCUAACGCGUGAAGUUGACCGCCUGGGGAGUACGGCCGCAAGGUUAAAACUCAAAUGAAUUGACGGGG
rnacentral:rRNA from 1 species